AGAAACAAUUUCAACAGAACUAUUUAUUAGCUUCAUCCCUCAAGUAUCCACGCCUGUAUGACUGUUUGAAAAUCACGUUUUUUAAACUUUAGCGUGUCUUUGCCGGCUUCCCUUGCACUAAUG